AACCCAUGGUGAAGGCACCUUCUUAGUAAGUCCUUGUAUCUCUCCCAUGCACUGUAAAGUGUUUCUAAAUCCAUUUGCAUAAAAGAAGAGAUAUCAUUACGCAAUUU
rfam:Gossypium hirsutum cultivar TM-1 chromosome 16, whole genome shotgun sequence